rnacentral:rRNA from 1 species
GAUGAACGCUGGCUACAGGCUUAACACAUGCAAGUCGAGGGGAAACGACGGGGAAGCUUGCUUCCCCGGGCGUCGACCGGCUCACGGGUGAGUAACGCGUAUCCAACCUGCCUCUGACUGAGGGAUAACCCGUCGAAAGUCGGCCUAAUACCUCAUGGCAUCGUCUGCGGUUAUCCAACGACGAUUAAAGAUUUCAUCGGUCAGGGAUGGGGAUGCGUCUGAUUAGCUUGUUGGCGGGGUAACGGCCCACCAAGGCUACGAUCAGUAGGGGUUCUGCGAGGCAGGUCGCCUACAUGGGAACUGAGGCACGGUCCAAACUCCUACGCGAGGAAGCAGUGAGGAAUAUUGGUAACUGGGCGGGAGGCUGAAACAGCCAAGUAGCGUGGAGGAUGACGGCCCUAUGGGUUGUAAACUGCUUAUAUGCGGAGAUAAAGUGAGGGACGUGUCCUUCAUAGGAGGUAACGUAUGAAUAAGGACCGGCUAAGUCCGUG